CGGUUAACGGAGCGAAAGCGACGUUCAACCGCAAAAGAAGCAGAGGGGGCUUAGUGGUGGGGUGACUGCGUACCUUUUGUAUAAUGGGUCAGCGACUUAUAUUCUGUAGCAAGGUUAACCGUAUAGGGGAGCCGGAGGGAAACCGAGUCUUAACCGGGCGUUAAGUUGCAGGGUAUAGACCCGAAACCCGGUGAUCUAGCCAUGGGCAGGUUGAAGGUUGGGUAACACUAACUGGAGGACCGAACCGACUAAUGUUGAAAAAUUAGCGGAUGACCUGUGGCUGGGGGUGAAAGGCCAAUCAAACCGGGAGAUAGCUGGUUCUCCCCGAAAGCUAUUUAGGUAGCGCCUCGUGAAUUCAUCUCCGGGGGUAGAGCACUGUUUCGGCUAGGGGGCCAUCCCGGCUUACCAACCCGAUGCAAACUGCGAAUACCGGAGAAUGUUAUCACGGGAGACACACGGCGGGUGCUAACGUCCGUCGUGAAGAGGGAAACAACCCAGACCGCCAGCUAAGGUCCCAAAGUCAUGGUUAAGUGGGAAACGAUGUGGGAAGGCCCAGACAGCCAGGAUGUUGGCUUAGAAGCAGCCAUCAUUUAAAGAAAGCGUAAUAGCUCACUGGUCGAGUCGGCCUGCGCGGAAGAUGUAACGGGGCUAAACCAUGCACCGAAGCUGCGGCAGCGACGCUUAUGCGUUGUUGGGUAGGGGAGCGUUCUGUAAGCCUGUGAAGGUGUGUCGUGAGGCAUGCUGGAGGUAUCAGAAGUGCGAAUGCUGACAUAAGUAACGAUAAAGCGGGUGAAAAGCCCGCUCGCCGGAAGACCAAGGGUUCCUGUCCAACGUUAAUCGGGGCAGGGUGAGUCGACCCCUAAGGCGAGGCCGAAAGGCGUAGUCGAUGGGAAACGGGUUAAUAUUCCCGUACUUGGUGUUACUGCGAAGGGGGGACGGAGAAGGCUAUGUUGGCCGGGCGACGGUUGUCCCGGUUUAAGCGUGUAGGUGUGUGUUCCAGGUAAAUCCGGUUCACUUUAACACUGAGGCGUGAUGACGAGGCA
rnacentral:rRNA from 1 species